AAAGGUCGUGCUUUUCAUGCUGGCAUGAAAAAGCACGAUUUUGAGACCCAUAAAAACAUGAGAAAGAGCCAUUUUCCGUAGAAAAUGAGCGAUUUCGAAUGUUUUUAGGAUUUCGGGAGCACGAAGUGCGGAGAAAUCCGUAGGCAU
rnacentral:sRNA from 1 species